AGACAGUUAGUCCAAGUAAGACGCUUGAUUUCGGCUCAAGAGGUGCUGGUUAAACCCCAUUACUGUCGU
rnacentral:tRNA from 1 species